rnacentral:rRNA from 1 species
AUUAACAAUUACCCUAUAAAUAACAAACUAAUUAAAACACUUAAAUGCUAACCUCUCUAUUCACUAACAAACCUAAAGUACUAAAAAGGAAACAACAAUAAUCUAUAGUAGUGACUUAUCCACGUACCUUGUGCAUUAUGGUUUUACAAGCAAGUAAUUAAAAAUAAAAUCCCGAAUUCUACGCGAGCUGCCAUCAUAUAGCUAAGAGCUCACUAUUAAUUGUGGCAACAAUUUUAGAAAAUAUGUUGGCAGGGGCUACAUACCAUACGCGCUAGAAAAUUGCUGGUUCUCUGCAAAAUUUAUUAAUUAAAACAUGUAGAACAUCCUCUACAGUGUAAGGCCUUGGAGGAUAAGCCCCAUGACCUAAAGCCAUUAAAUACUCAAAUAUAGUAACUAGGCUUAAAAACAGCCACCAACAGUACUUUACCGUACUUUAAUUUAAAUAAAUAUGUACAAUGCAACAUAAAGCAGAGAAUCGUGAAAAACUAUAAACCUCGAUCUACUAUGUAAAAAUAAGUAUUAGAAAAUUUCACGUACCUUAUAUCAAUAACUAACUUAUAUAAACCUGAUAAAAACUUAUAAAGGAACUCGGCAAAUCCUUAUUU